rnacentral:tRNA from 1 species
GUUAUAGUUUAUAGUAAAACAUUUAAUUUGCAAUUAAAAAAAACAAAUAUUAACCUGAAUA